rnacentral:lncRNA from 1 species
UUCAUUUUUUUCAUUAAUAUUUUAUAUUAUUUCUCUAUUUUUUUGUCAAGUUUAUUAUUAUUUCUCUUUUAUCCUUUCAAAACAGAUAAAGACAAUCUCAAAAGUAAUAAUUAGGUUGAAAAUAUAAAAGUUAGUUUUAGGAAAAAUAUACCAUGGGGUGACACUGCAAAGAUCGGGCACGUGGAAAAAAAUACAUAAAAUCAGUGGGCUAACCAAUUCAAAAUACUUUGAUUGGAAUAUUUUUUUACUAAACUUGGAUUAUUAUUAGGUUUGAUAGUCAAUGAUGUUUUUUUGGCUUAACAUAAUUUCAACAGAUUCAUAAAAUUUUUGCAAGUUGAUUGAAGUUCGUUUUCUCUUUCACUCAUCAAAGAAUGGUGGAUUUAGAUCAAUUUUUGAUUUAGAAUCAUCCAUAUGCAUUUUUUUUUCCUUCCAUUUCUUUAGAUUUAAAUAAGUGAUUUUCACAUAUAAUAAGUUUUUUCUUGUGUUUUUUUUCUUCGUGAUUUCAUCGUUUGAAUGUGGCGUUGUGUUGUUCGUCGUCUUUUGCGGCGUUGUUUGAUUUUGCGUCUUAUUGCGGUGUUUGUUUGGUUCAUAUUGAAAAAUCAUCUUUAGUCAAUUAAUGAUUUGGACGUCAAUAUUGCAGAUUCAUAAGCAUGAGUAUUCUAGUGAUUUAGAUUUUAUCAUAUUUAUUUUACCGUUGUAUGUUAUUAACAUGGGUGUAUGAGUUUGUUUGCAUAUUUACCUUUUAUGUUUUUAGUGACGUUGAUCAUGUUAUUGUAUAUGUAUUAUAUCAAAUUUGAAUAAAUGAAGAUAUUGUGUUUUGUAAAAAAAAAAAUGCAAGUGGAUCAUUUCCUUUAGUUUGAAUCAGCUACCUAUAUGACAUGGUUCAUUAUUCAUGAUUCUUUCCACGCGAUAAGGGAGCCUUAGGUAAGAAAUAACAAGGUUUUUUUUUUUUUUUGAAGGAAGGUAAGAAAUAACAAUGUAUAGUUACUAUAUGGGAGCAAAUAAUACAAGCAACAUAAAUGAAUGUGAUGGGUAUUUAGAUUUGUUUUUUUUUUUUUGGUAUCUGUAUUUAUGUAUAUUUUCAUUGAUGAAAGGAGUAUAAUUAAAUAAAGAUAGAAUUUGUUUUAUAUGCUAAUAUAUAUUAUUACAAAAAAUAGGAAAAUCAGAAGGCAAUUUCUAUGGUACACUCGAUAAUUUUGAAUGUACCGAUAC